GGCGAGUUGGGAGGUCAUCUGGGCCUCCUGGUAGCCUCCCUGAGUUCAGCCAAUCCAGUGAGGAGAAGCCGUGGGCGGGGCGGCCUCGGCUGCCAGAGCGGCGUGAAAAAUUUCCCAAGGCAGAGCGAAAACCUUUCCUGAGCGACUGAGCAUGCCCGGUGGUGAAAGUAUAUUCCAUGCUUGGGGUGAAGACUUCUCUCUCUUGCUGGCCAUGAACAAGAAAGCACAAAGCUUCAGGACUGUUGGCUGCCAUCUUGGAGCUAUGAGGGGACCAGCCUUAGAAUGAACCCAGAUGCUGAGGACAGUAGCACAGAGGAAUGGAAACAGCUUGCAUCUGUGAUGCCAUCUUUGAGCUGAAAACCAUACUGCAUCUGGAUCCUCAUUCAAUCUCUGGGUUUACAGUUACAGGAGGGUAUGUGGUUUAAACUCUCCAUGGACUGACAAAAUCAGGUUUCUGACUCUGCAAAGCUAAGAAGACUCUGCUCCUGGAAGGCCUCUCCACUGACAGACUGAGUCAUAUUCGAAAUAUUUACCAACAGACUGAACAACUGAACAGAACAGACAACGUGCCUGGCUGUUACGCUGUCUAGGUGAAGGGAAACCAAAUGACCAGCUCAACGACCCAUGCUAGGUGGAACCAUGAGGAACACAGGACCCAGACCACAUGACUUCCAGCUUGCUGCAUUCCUCUUUGUCCAGUCAAAGCCUCCUUAGCUGUGGGCAGGCUGCUGGUCGUCGGAGAAGCUGCCUGCAAAGAUGCUGGGACGCCCUUUUUAUGAACCAGGAAUCCAGGACAAAGCCUCCUGGUGCCUUCAUCCUCCUGUUGCUACCUGGGACCCACUGCUCUCUAAAUGAAUCCUUAGCUGUGAUCCCAGCCAUCCACCUGCCAUCAUCCUCAGGGCUCCCUUCCCCACGCCCCUGAAGUGGGUUUUCCAUUCCUUGGUUUACCUUCCCAUUUUGUUGGAACACCUCCUCCAGUAACUUCCUGAGAAAGGGUAUACCUUGGGGAGAUUGCAAUUUUUGUUCCAGACCAUCACAAUAAAGUCUGGAGGUGAGUGUUCCAAGAUCCGUAAGGAUUCCAAGCUACCGGAGACUCCAGUUCUUGUCUUGUUGCUCCACCAUCCCUCGGGCAUGGCCCUUGUCUGAAUGAAUAUUUGACCACACAUGGCUGGAUGGAUACUCCAGCCAGGAGGACUGAGAUGAGGAAACUAGAACUCAGAAAAGUUAGGCCUCACGCCAAGGGCACAGCGUUAGGAAGAGGCUGAGCCUGCACUGGAACCCAGAACUUGUGCCGAGUGGCUUCAUGGGGCACACCAUCAAGCCAGAAUUUCCCUGCACUCCCUGUUCUGUUUGUGACCUGAUGAUGGUAAAGCCUCUUCAUUUAUUGAUGAACCCUUGGGAAGCAAAGUACUCCAGAGACUUCUCAGAUCAAUACACAAGGGCGAGAAAUCAUCGGAGGAUUACAAGAACUGGUUUACUUUGAACUCCGCCUAAUAUGAAAGGAAAGACCAAAAGGGAAGUAGUUUACUUUAAUAUCUGUGUGGCUUUUUUUUCAAAUGGCAACAAGAUGCAUCCCUAGCCCACGCGUGGCCCUUGCUCUUCCAACUGUAAACAGGCCUUUUAAUGGAAAGACAGCACAAGUUUGAAGUUCAAAGGACCGAGUUUACGUCCCACCUCUGCUAAGGGAAUAGCUCUGCGAUCCUGGGAAAGUUACUUAACCUCGCUGACGAUCACAGGUUUCUCCUAUAAAACUUUAAUGGUGAUAAUAACUAAGUCCCUUUGAUGGUGGGGUUAUUAAAUUAACUAAUGU